GGGUUGUGAGGUUAAGCGACUAAGCGUACACGGUGGAUGCCCUGGCAGUCAGAGGCGAUGAAGGACGUGCUAAUCUGCGAUAAGCGUCGGUAAGGUGAUAUGAACCGUUAUAACCGGCGAUUUCCGAAUGGGGAAACCCAGUGUGUUUCGACACACUAUCAUUAACUGAAUCCAUAGGUUAAUGAGGCGAACCGGGGGAACUGAAACAUCUAAGUACCCCGAGGAAAAGAAAUCAACCGAGAUUCCCCCAGUAGCGGCGAGCGAACGGGGAGGAGCCCAGAGCCUGAAUCAGUGUGUGUGUUAGUGGAAGCGUCUGGAAAGGCGCGCGAUACAGGGUGACAGCCCCGUACACAAAAAUGCACAUACUGUGAGCUCGAUGAGUAGGGCGGGACACGUGGUAUCCUGUCUGAAUAUGGGGGGACCAUCCUCCAAGGCUAAAUACUCCUGACUGACCGAUAGUGAACCAGUACCGUGAGGGAAAGGCGAAAAGAACCCCGGCGAGGGGAGUGAAAAAGAACCUGAAACCGUGUACGUACAAGCAGUGGGAGCCUCUUUUAUGGGGUGACUGCGUACCUUUUGUAUAAUGGGUCAGCGACUUAUAUUCUGUAGCAAGGUUAACCGAAUAGGGGAGCCGAAGGGAAACCGAGUCUUAACUGGGCGUUAAGUUGCAGGGUAUAGACCCGAAACCCGGUGAUCUAGCCAUGGGCAGGUUGAAGGUUGGGUAACACUAACUGGAGGACCGAACCGACUAAUGUUGAAAAAUUAGCGGAUGACUUGUGGCUGGGGGUGAAAGGCCAAUCAAACCGGGAGAUAGCUGGUUCUCCCCGAAAGCUAUUUAGGUAGCGCCUCGUGAAUUCAUCUCCGGGGGUAGAGCACUGUUUCGGCAAGGGGGUCAUCCCGACUUACCAACCCGAUGCAAACUGCGAAUACCGGAGAAUGUUAUCACGGGAGACACACGGCGGGUGCUAACGUCCGUCGUGAAGAGGGAAACAACCCAGACCGCCAGCUAAGGUCCCAAAGUCAUGGUUAAGUGGGAAACGAUGUGGGAAGGCCCAGACAGCCAGGAUGUUGGCUUAGAAGCAGCCAUCAUUUAAAGAAAGCGUAAUAGCUCACUGGUCGAGUCGGCCUGCGCGGAAGAUGUAACGGGGCUAAACCAUGCACCGAAGCUGCGGCAGCGACGCUUAUGCGUUGUUGGGUAGGGGAGCGUUCUGUAAGCCUGUGAAGGUGUACUGUGAGG
rnacentral:rRNA from 1 species